UACAGAGGUCUCAAGCGUUGUUCGGAUUCAUUGGGCGUAAAGGGUGCGUAGGCGGCGCGGUAAGUCGGGUGUGAAAUCUCGGAGCUUAACUCCGAAACUGCAUUCGAUACUGGCGUGCUUGAGGACUGGAGAGGAGACUGGAAUUCAUGGUGUAGCAGUGAAAUGCGUAGAGAUCAUGAGGAAGACCAGUGGCGAAGGCGGGGUCUCUGGACAGUUCCUGACACUGAGACACGAAGGCCAGGGGGAGCAAAACGGGG
rnacentral:rRNA from 1 species